GCGGGGGGUCGGUAAUACCUCUUUGAACAUGUAUUGCAUUUGUUCAGCAGACGGGGAGGGAAGUAAGGAUGGUUUGCAGUUUUCGGUGAUCACAGGCAUGGUAUCUCGGGGUACUUUAUACUAUGUGUGUAAGUUUCAAAACGAUUGGUCGAAGGGUUGAUUUUAUACGAUUUUUGGAAUUUCAUCAGGUUCUAGUAUGGCUGACGCUGAAGUGCAGGUGCCUAAUGUAUCAAAUAUUGAACAAACAAAUAGCAACAUUCCUUCUACUUCUCAAGAUUUGACUGCAUUGCUGAAGUAUGUUUUCAAACAAGCUACCACCAACAAUUCAUUAUAAUGGACAUCAUGAAAUUCUGGAGUGGAUUGUAG